GACAAAGGGAGUAUAAGUUUCCAUGUCCAACUUUGAUCUUUCGUCUUAUUUGAAAUUUUUCUAUAAUUAGCAUAUUUAUUGUUAUUAGAUGAUAAAAUAUGAGUAAUAAUUUAUGCAUGACUUCUGUUUUUAAUUUUUUUAAAAAAUAAAACGAACAAUUAAAAUUAGUCAUGUAAAUACGCAUGGAUA
rnacentral:pre_miRNA from 1 species